rnacentral:rRNA from 1 species
AGUGAACGCUGGCGGCAUGCCUAAUACAUGCAAGUCGAACGGCAGCACAGUAAGAUUUCGCCCCUACGGGUGGCGACUGGCGGAUGGGUGAGGAAUACAUCACAAUCUACUAUUUCGUGGGGGAUAACGUAGGGAAACUUAUGCUACUACCGCAUACGAUCUACGGCAGAAAGCAGUGGUUCAUCGCGCCUUUCGCGUCUGAAUGAGCUGAUGUCGCAUUAGCUAGUUGGCGGGGUAAAGGCCCACCAAGGCGACGAUCCGUAGCCGGUCUGAGAGGAUGAUCGGCCACACUGGAACUGAGACACGGUCCAGACUCCUACGGGAGGCAGCAGUAGGGAAUAUUCGGCAAUGGGCGCAAGCCUGAUCCAGCAAUGCCGCGUGAGUGAAGAAGGCCUUCGGAUUGUAAAGCCCUUUUAUUAGGGAAGAAAAGCUGCGUAAGUAUCCCCGGCUGUUCUGACGGUACCCAAUGAGAAAGCACCGGCUAACUUCGUG